CACGGCGUCUUCACCGGCGAUUGGAUCUGAGCUCUCGUCUCUGGUUCCUCCGUGCUGACGGCGUCAUCACAGCGAACCACACCGGAGUCAACUGCACCACGAGGAGUCGUCGUCCUCGAUCUCGCCCUCCUCCCUCUCCUCCGCGCCCGCUGACGCGUGCCGCGUCUCGUGUCCUCGGCCAUGCCAGCGGCAGCGAUGCGGUCUGGCGUCGGCGCCGACCGAGUUCCCGUCUUCUCCCCUGCAUCGCGAGCGCAGUGCCGGCCUGCCUACGUCGGGGUUGCUCGCCACAUGGCCGACCCAGAGCUGACGCAACUUGAUAUUGGAGCAAUAAUGAAAGCCUUCACAUCUGCUUAUGUGGUUGCACUGCUUAUGCUGGACAUUGUUUAUCAGGUGCAAUUCUAAGGCUUUAUGGAUCUGGACGAGUUGAUGUGAUAAUGGUACAGGAAGUGAUGCCGUACUCUCAUCUCAUACAUUGACCAAGACUAGAGGAUGUGAGUUCUCUCACUAUCUGUUUCUCCUUAGGUGGUUAAUUCUGCUGAUAUGGAAACAUGUUUUUCUCUUUCAGUUUGUAACCACUGCUGCACUGCCCUUUCUACAGUUCUUUCACCUUAGAAAUAUUAUUUUCUUUUAGGUUUGCAAGGAUUCUAUAUUUCACGUAAUUUGAUGCACACUACUAAUUCUGCACUAUGUGACUCUUCUUUGCCACGACACAGUUCUAAGCACUUCUCAAAGUAUGCAUAAUUGCAUAUUGACACUUUGUACAGCUUGAGAGUAGGGGGCUGCUUCAGGAUCUGCUAUUUAGUUAUAGUAUUAUUUUGGCAUAAUUACUUAGUGUUUGAUGAACAAAUUUUUAGCGUGAGCAUGGCUGUGGUCAUGGUUUAUUUACCAGUUUGGUUUGUCUAUUGUUUCUACAUCUUUACCGAAUUGACAUAUUGUUCAAAGUACCACUUUGGUAAGUCCGUUGUUGCCCCAUCUUCUCUUCUCAUGAAGAUAUGUACAAUACUAAUUCCCAGUUUCCGAACCUUAUCUAAUGUUUUCACACUUCAGUUUUUUCUCAAAUAUUUAUGUUGUUCUUUCUACAUGAUGGAUGGGCACAAACACACCUUAUGUUAUUGGUGAAGCGCUGCUAGAGGCCUUGCAAAUGCUGUAGCAGCUGAUUAUCCAGUUUUGACAUAGACGGACAUGGAUUCCCAAAGCAUUAUAAUCAAAAUCAAGGAGAUGAUAGAAUCAAGAAACAUGGACGGACAUGGAUUCCCAAAGCAAACUAGAAAAUCGAGGAACAUGUGAUUAGAUAAGGCACCGGGAAGGAGUAGAAAUUAGAACCAUCAAAGAACCAAAAUCAGAAUCAGGAGAAGAAAAGGCAUUGGACAACUUGCCUUCUUUUUUCACCACAGGUCUCGAACCUAUUUUUUCAUAUGGAAAUGACUUGUGACGCAUUUUAUUGAAUAUCAAAGUAAAUUACAUUGCUGAAUACUGAAGGCAAAACCGUUGGGAUUCUCUACUGUCACACCAUGACGCUUUGCAUUUGCUUUGAUUUCUAGCGAUGCUAUGCUGCCCAUAGAGAAAGUAGUUACGUUGAUGUACAAUAUUUUUCCUUGGUCCAUUUUCUCAGUUUAUCUCGGACCAUUCUACUACGAAUGAAUACUUAUAUCCCCUUUACAUG